GUUGACCUCGGAUCAGGUAGGAAUACCCGCUGAACUUAAG
rnacentral:rRNA from 17 species